rnacentral:rRNA from 1 species
AUUGAACGCUGGCGGCAUGCCUUACACAUGCAAGUCGAACGGCAGCACGGACUUCGGUCUGGUGGCGAGUGGCGAACGGGUGAGUAAUGUAUCGGAACGUACCUUUCAGUGGGGGAUAACGUAGCGAAAGUUACGCUAAUACCGCAUAUUCUGUGAGCAGGAAAGCAGGGGAUCGAAAGACCUUGCGCUGAUUGAGCGGCCGAUAUCAGAUUAGCUAGUUGGUGGGGUAAAGGCCUACCAAGGCGACGAUCUGUAGCGGGUCUGAGAGGAUGAUCCGCCACACUGGAACUGAGACACGGUCCAGACUCCUACGGGAGGCAGCAGUGGGGAAUUUUGGACAAGGGGGGCAACCCUGAUCCAGCCAUGCCGCGUGAGUGAAGAAGGCCUGCGGGUUGUAAAGCUCUUUCGGCCGGGAAGAAAUCGCAUAGGCUAAUACCCUGUGUGGAUGACGGUACCGGAAUAAGAAGCACCGGCUAACUACGU